UCACAGUGAUGACGGUUUUGUCCAACCAUUCGCAGUUUCUACCAGAAAGGUUUUCCUUGCAUGAUGGCAACUCCUUCCUUGGAUGUCUGAGUGA